AAGUUCUUUUGAGUAUCCCAUAAACGAAACAUACAAUUGGUGUUCUCGAAGUUACAUAAGACAACAAAGCUAUAAACAUAUAUUUGAAGCAAUAAAUGAUGGAGAGGAUCCUUUAAAAAUCACAAAUAUUUGCGAUACUCGUUGGCUUUUUAUCGAGGUCUCUAUAUCAAGAAUAACUGCUCAAUGGACUGAACUUAAAACACAUUUUGGCAUAGCAAAAAACCACGAAAAAUGUUUUAUGGCCCAAAAUUUUUACGAUUUAUAAAAUGACAUUAAUAUAUGCUAUUUGAUAUUUCUUCAACCAAUACUGGCACGAGUUCAAAUUUUAAACAAGAGUUUCCAAUGGUGGAAUUCGACAUAAUAACUUCAGAUUUCAAAGAGCACAUAUGUUACGAUUGUUAUUUGGGAUAUAAAUUUGAAGUGAAGAAAAGGAACUAGACAUUCGUAAUUAUUCUAUUCAGUUUGUUGUUAAUUUAAUAAUGGAAUUGAAAAAAGGUUACUUGAAAAUUAUAAAAUAUUAAAGUUGGUGAAUUUAAUUUCUAUUGAAAAUACAUUGAAGCCGAAAAAUCAUAAUCUAUUACCACUUUUAGAGAUUUUUAAUGUUAGUGUUGAUUUAAUUGAUGCAAUCAACAGUCAGUAUAGUAACAUAAGUUAUGUCAAAUGGACCGAAAAUACAUCAGCGACUUCCUUUUGGUCUGAAGUUAAUCUUUUUAAGGAUUCUGCAGGAAACAAUUCAUUAAAGGAUCUAGCUAAAUUUGCUAUUGAGAUGUUAUCACUCCCAUGGUCCAUUAGAAAAUUAAUAAUCUCAAAAUUUGUACUAAUGUUUAAAAUUAAACAACAAAUGUUGCUAUAAUUACGAGGUGCCAAAGUCAGUGGUGCACAAAAUUGGAACAAAUUCCACAUACGAAAGUACAAAUACAGAGGAUUGGCUCAAAAUUUUCAAUUAAAUUAAUUUUUAAUUAAAACUGUAACUAAUUUUAUUUUUUUAUUGUUAUA